rnacentral:lncRNA from 1 species
AGUAGGAUAAAAUCAUGUUGGAAUGGAGUUCUGUGUGGAUGCUCCUUUGAACCAAAUCAGUUCCACAACUGACCCUGUCAGGGACAUAUAAAUUUAGCAUUUUGGUGUGGAUACAGAAGACGAGAUUAACACAGAUCAAGUAACAUGGAAAUAAAAAAGGAGACAAUGCUGGAUGAUACAGGGGCAGCAACAAGAGGAGAAAACCCAAGCAUUGGCAAAUGCCUCAUUAUCCAAAGAACACUGGGCCUCAGAGUAUGUCAGCUGGGGUCAGACGGGAACAGGAGUCUGGCUCAACACACAUUUAUUGCACUCCUGCUUCAUGCCAAGAAAUGCACCAAAAUCUGGGACUGUGUAACACAGCAAAGGAAAAGACUCAUCUCCAGGAAGCCCCCUUGUCUAGGAAGAGAAAUUGAAUAUCAGCAUAAGGUGGUGAAAAGCUAUGAAGGAGAUGAGUGCCACGAGUCCAUGGAGGAAGGAUUCUAGCCUGGACAGGUGAUUGUGGUGAAUAGUCAUGAGAAUCUGGGAACUGGCUCCUGCUCUGUCUAUCUUGGAGAUGCAUCUUUUGUGAGAGGACAGGGCAAGAAUAGGGAGGCUUAGGCAAUGGGGAGUUUCUGAGUAGAUAAAGCAGAUGGCAG